rnacentral:rRNA from 1 species
UACGUAGGGCGCAAGCGUUGUCCGGAUUCACUGGGUUUAAAGGGUGCGUAGGUGGGUUGGUAAGUCAGUGGUGAAAUCCCCGAGCUUAACUUGGGAACUGCCAUUGAUACUAUCAGUCUUGAAUACCGUGGAGGUCAGCGGAAUAUGUCAUGUAGCGGUGAAAUGCUUAGAUAUGACAUAGAACACCAAUUGCGAAGGCAGCUGGCUACACGAAUAUUGACACUGAGGCACGAAAGCGUGGGGAGCAAACAGG